GUAAAGAUGUUUGGAUCCUUCCUUGCUUGUUAGUUUUAGAGUUGAGUUGACCCACUACAAAGGAGCAUUUCAAGCCAAAAAGUAAAAAGGACUCUGGAGGUCAGGUUUUAUAAAAUCUUCUGCAAUGACUCUUUGUUCAUGUUGAAACUAGACUUGAAGUCAUAAAUGUCUUGCCCUGCUUUCAAGCAAGUUUAAUUUUAAGAAGACAUUGGAUUUGGGGUGUUUCUGAUUGACCCAGGAGAAAAUGAAAAAGGAUAAAGGAGAAGAUGUAAAUUGAGGAUAUUGGAAGAUCACAGACUGGGAGGAGGAAUGGUGGAAUGAAAAACAAAAUAAAUUCAACGUUCUGCAGCUAAGUGAAAAGGAAUUAAAGUUUAGCUGAAAAGCGGGACCUACCUUACCAUCAUGGUCUGAGAGACAUGCCAUGUAAUGAUGGGAGCAAUGAUUGGAGCAAUGUGUCUACAGGCCAUAGAACACCAGUGAUCAAUGACAAUCACCAGAAGUUAGGGAGAAGCAAGGAAGGAUCUUCCCAGAGACCUUAGAGAGAUCAUGGCCCUGCCAACACCUUCACUUCAGAAUUCUAGCCUCUAGUACCAUGAUAAAAUAAAUUUGUUCUU